rnacentral:lncRNA from 1 species
GGCGCAGUUGGUGCGUGGCAAACCGAACCUGUCAAUUCCAGAAGCUUUUGGCACAUUGUUGCAGCGACUAGAUGACUUUGAGAAGUGUCUGCAUGUUUUUCCCCAAGUGCGGUUAUUUUUGCCGCUGUGAAAUGUUCUGAAAUCUGACAGUUUUGUUUUGAGUCUUAGCCCGAUGUGAAGAUGGAAAGGAACACUGCCUCCCAGUUCUGCGGCACCCGCUUCUCGGGGUCUCCUGAGGACACCCAGAUCCUGGCAGAGGUGGCCAAGGAGAAGCCCGGAGACCAAGGUUCCCAGGGGGAGGGCACAGUGAGUCAGGUCCUGGAGACGAGGGGUGUACUCGGAGCACGAGACCCAGGGGCUGGCUCAGCCAGUGUAUAACACCUACUGUGUGCCAGUCUUUCUUCCACCGAAUGUUCCUGAGCACCUACUGUGUGGUGCUGAGCCAUUGGAGGGCUCUCAGCAGAGGACCGUGUUGCUUCUCCAUCCUUAUGAGCAGGGAGACAGGUGGAGUCUGCAGAGGGCGCAGACCUGGGAAGAGAAAAGACGACUUCUGCUCGGCCCCAGCUCUUCAGAGCUCUCAGCCCAGGACAGGGGGUGCUGGCACACAGCAGAGGACGGGGAGGUCUGGGUGGCCCCAGUGAGCCAGCACCACAGGACCAGCAGUGUGUGUCUCGCUGCUGCCCCGUCCUCCAUCUGGCACCUCCAUCCUAUUCCCAAGGCCACCGUUUCAGGGCUCAUCCAGAGCCUUCUCCCUCAAAAUGGAGACCCUCCCUCUGUUGAUGUCCUUAGGCCACAUCACAUCUCAGCAGUUGCCCCAACUGCCCUGACUCCAUACUGCUAUGUCCAGGCCCCUCUUGUGUGGCCCAGGUACCUGUGGGGACCUGCAGGCAUCCCAGACUUUGCAUGUCCCUAAUGGACUUUACCUAGCUCCUCCCCAGCUGCUGGGGCUCUGCAAGGGUUCCCCACCUCAAGUGCCCCUGGACGGCAGCUCUCUGCUGCCUUCUGACUGGGGGCUCCUGCAUCCUGGGCACACGCUCGAGUGGGAACUGGCCUAGGCCAGGCUUGGGGCUGUGUGCUUCACCUGCACGACCUGUUCCAGUCCCCUGACUCCCCUGGGAGGCAGCAAGGACUGCUCUGCUCCCACGGAGGACCACACAGGGACCAUCCGAGGGUGCACAGCUCUUCCAGCAUUUCCUGAAAAGGCCAGCUCACUGCCCACCCCAGGUGACCCAGGAGGACGGAGCCCUGACAAUACAGUCG